GUGGAUUUUGAAUAAGAUCUGGGACUGAAUCCUGGCUCCGCUACAAAAAGAUGUGACCAGGCAAGAGUGGAAGAGAAGGAGUUCCUUCAUACUGCCAGAGAAUUCUCUCAGAAGAAGAAGAUGGGAUUAGGAUGGCCACAUUUUGAAAAUGGUUGGUUUGUCCUUGCUUGGACCACUUCUGGAGUUUGCUGUUCACGUGUGGGUGACAUAUUUUAAGAAGGAAAUUGAUAAACUGGAGAACUCUGAGAAAGGCAACCAGAAAGACUCCUCUUCAAAGCGAUUCUUCUUCAAGGAAUGACCUGGAGGCCAGUCAUUCAUUCAACAGACAAAGAUGGGCUACUUCUGAGUGCUCCCCUUAUCCAACACUGAGGACUUGGGACUGGAAGAAGGCAAAGAGAUCCGAGGUCCUAACGGACGGGAGAGAUGAAGGCAU